rnacentral:tRNA from 2 species
GCGAGAGUAGCUCAGUGGUAGAGCUCCACCUUGCCAAGGUGGCUGUCGCGAGUUCAAAUCUCGUCUCUCGCU